ACGCGCGCCCCCGCCACGGCGCCGGUGCGCGGCUGCGCUGCCCGCCGCGACGCAAACACCUCCGCCCCCGCGCUGAUAAGGCUGCGCAAACACGACGUGGGAAAGGCGGCGAGUUUUGCACCUCCCGUGCCCGCGUUUGCUGAACGCUAGGACAAAUGGAAGGGGAAAAUGGACGGGCGUGUAAAGUUUUAUGGCUGCAAAGCCCGCAGAGGCGUUUGAUCCUCUUUAGUUUCUGAGCCGGGAUGUCAAGCGCUGGAAAUCCAAGGGUGCAAAUCUGACCACGUCAGCAGGAAACGUGCACUUUGAAAACACAUUUGCAAAGGAAAGCAACUUCAAUGGGGUUUUAUUAGAACAUUUUGCAUUGGGUUUUCACACUAGGUUCUUUUUUUCCCCCCCUCUCUUUCCCUGCCCCCCGUAAGGCAGCUCAUGGUCCCAUUUGGCUGCUGCUCCUCGCCGGGGGGACCCGCCCGCCGCCGCGCCACCUCCGCGGGUACAGCACGGCGGCCUGCAGCCUUAACGCUGAGCUUGGAAAUAAAAACCCGAGAGAGACAGGAGGGAUGAAACGCCCUGGGGGACGAGGAGCGCGAGCCCCCUGUCUCCGUGCGCCCCGGCACUUGGCGGGGGCGCGCUCGGGGGCGGCACGGCCCGCGCGGCUGCGGCACCGCGCUGGGCGCGAGGCGCCGACAGCUCGCUGCGCAACGGUUCCUUGGUGAUAGGCCACCCUCUAGUGCCCCGAGCCGGCAAGGGCAGCCCGGGCACGGAGAGCAGCGGUCUGGUUUCGGAGGGGUUUCCAAAACGGAAUUUAAAUCCCCCCUUUCCCUCCUCCAGCCCCAUGGAAACGCUGCGGCUCCUUACGGUAACACGGCGCUAUCUCCCCAAGAGGAAGCAAUCGGAAAGCGUGAUUAAGUGCAUCUAUCUCUGUAAGGUCUGAAAUCACCACCUUCAGUGCGGAUCCUACCCUCUGAGUAAACAGUUCACGAUAACCAUGCAAGGAGCAAUGUAUAAUCAUCAUUUGCAGAAACACUUGGAUAAACUGACUUUGAUCAAACACAUCACAGAUAAGUAGUCUGGUAUAAGAUUUUGCUAACCCUCUUCUACAAUUUCUGUUUAAGGUUUAAAGGUUCCUGAUUGAGUAGUUACACAGUAACUCAAGCCACCAGCAGAGAGGGGUGAAAUGUAUGUGUGCUAAUAUAAUUUUUUUUAUUUGCUCUCUAUAAACUAAGGAGGGAUUAUGUAGCUUUCAGUUGCAUUCUAAAAACAUGAUAAGGAAGACUGAAUGUUCAAGUCACUUGGUUUACCAAUUAACCAAGUCUUCAAGGCUUCACAAAGUUACUCAAGUUUUACGAUCGCUGUGGAUCUGCUGCAAUGCUGUUCCAUGUCUGCAUUUGAUGAUGUUUUAUAUAUUUUAAAUUCUAUACAAUAAAAAAAUGCCAGUAAUACUAGACAGUCUUAUGCUAACCACUGAAAUAACCAAGGUCACACAGCUGUACCAUCAUUUUGGUUCUAUACGAAGUUCUGCUUGUAUUGUACUGUAACAAUUGUCAUUGCACAAGUUUAAAAAUUUUUGUAAAGGUGUGAUAAACCGGCAGCUGCUAACUGU